rnacentral:rRNA from 1 species
UGAAGAAUAUUGGGCAAUGGGCGAAAGCCUGACCCAGCAACGCCGCGUGAAGGAAGAAGGUCUUCGGAUUGUAAACUUCUGUCCCAUGAGAAGAAACAAAUGACGGUACCAUGGGAGGAAGCCCCGGCUAACUACGUGCCAGCAGCCGCGGUAAUACGUAGGGGGCAAGCGUUGUCCGGAAUUAUUGGGCGUAAAGGGUGCGUAGGCGGCCUUUCAAGUUGGAUGUGAAAUCUCCGUGCUUAACAUGGAAAUUGCAUUCAAAACUGGAGGGCUUGAGUGUGGAAGAGGUAAGUGGAAUUCCCAGUGUAGCGGUGAAAUGCGUAGAUAUUGGGAGGAACACCAGUGGCGAAGGCGACUUACUGGGCCACAACUGACGCUGAGGCACGAAAGCGUGGGGAGCAAACA